CAACGUCGCUUUCUCCUUCACCCCGCCCGAGUAUUGGGCGCAAAUUGAGCUUAGGUUCCGGACGCGGACGAGCGACGGUACACUCGUGCUUCUGCGGUCACGUCACCGCACCGACUGGCUGAGUGUAGAGCUCCAGGCCGGCAGUGUUUGUCUUGUCGUUGGCUUGGACGGUCGCGUGUACACUUCGCUCUGCGUUGCUAAAAAAUUCGACGACGGAGAAUGGCAUCAUGUCGUGGCGCAGAGGCACGCAGAGUUGCUGGAGGUGGCCAUAGAUGAGGCGGAGCAAGACUCGUACGCCAGCGCUCUGCUGCCAGAGCUGCAGAGUUUACCUUUCAGCGUCAGCAGACACGACGGCGCGUGGCUGGGAGGUCUGACUGAGAGACCGGGUGUGAGGCCAACAUCUGCGGAUGAUGUCUUCAGAUCUGUGGAUGUGGCCCCG
rnacentral:lncRNA from 1 species